rnacentral:lncRNA from 1 species
GGCUGCUGGUCCCGGGUGAUGCUAGGCGGCUCCCUGGGCUCCAGGCUGUUGCGGGGUGUAGGUGGGAGUCACGGACGGUUCGGGGCCCGAGGUGUCCGCGAAGGUGGCGCAGCCAUGGCGGCAGGGGAGAGCAUGGCUCAGCGGAUGGUCUGGGUGGACCUGGAGGAAAUUCAGUUCAUGAAGAUAAGAAGUUUCUUGACAAAUACAUGCCCCAGUUCAUGAAACAUCUUCAUUAUAGAAUAAUUGAUGUGAGCACUGUUAAAGAACUGUGCAGACGCUGGUAUCCAGAAGAAUAUGAAUUUGCACCAAAGAAGGCUGCUUCUCAUAGGGCACUUGAUGACAUUAGUGAAAGCAUCAAAGAGCUUCAGUUUUACCGAAAUAACAUCUUCAAGAAAAAAAUAGAUGAAAAGAAGAGGAAAAUUAUAGAAAAUGGGGAAAAUGAGAAGACCGUGAGUUGAUGCCAGUUAUCAUGCUGCCACUACAUCGUUAUCUGGAGGCAACUUCUGGUGGUUUUUUUUUCUCACGCUGAUGGCUUGGCA